ACCGCAGGUUGUUUCCGUCGCUUCCUACAGCACGUCUGUAGGGGGAGGAAAGUCCGGGCAACGCAGGGCGCCACACCCCUCGAAAGCGGGGGACCUGAAGUACAGUGCUUGCACUACUACUUCGGGGACAGACAGUGCCGCAGAAAACAAACCGCCAUGUAGCAUGCGCUUCGCUGGCUACAUGGCAAGGGUGAAAACGUGGGGUAAGAGCCCACGCCUGCACACAGCAAUGUGUGCUUGAGGUAAACCUUGUGGGUUGCAAGGCCAAAUAGUUCGGGGCAGGGUUCCGCAUCUGCGGAAUCCGGAAGGGCUGCCCGCCCGACCCGAAGGGUAGGCCGCUUAGAUAAAUGACGGGAGCCCGCACAUGCGGGAAACAGAACCCGGCUUACGGACCUGCAAACAUG
rnacentral:RNase_P_RNA from 1 species